rnacentral:rRNA from 1 species
UACGUAGGCAGCAAGCGUUGUUCGGAGUUACUGGGCGUAAAGGGUGUGUAGGCGGUCUUCUAAGUUUGGUGUGAAAUCUCCCGGCUCAACUGGGAGGGUGCGCCGAAAACUGGGAGGCUAGAGUGCGGGAUGGGAGAGUGGAAUUCCUGGUGUAGCGGUGAAAUGCGUAGAUAUCAGGAGGAACACCUGUGGUGUAGACGGCUCCCUGGACCGCAACUGACGCUGAGACACGAAAGCGUGGGGAGCGAACAGG